UACGUAGGGGGCAAGCGUUGUCCGGAAUCAUUGGGCGUAAAGAGCGUGUAGGCGGCUCGGUAAGUCCGCUGUGAAAGUCCAGGGCUCAACCCUGGAAAGCCGGUGGAAACUGUCGAGCUAGAGUCCGGAAGAGGCGAGUGGAAUUCCUGGUGUAGCGGUGAAAUGCGCAGAUAUCAGGAGGAACACCCGUGGCGAAGGCGGCUCUCUGGGACGGUACUGACGCUGAGACGCGAAAGCGUGGGGAGCGAACAGG
rnacentral:rRNA from 1 species